ensembl:lncRNA
GAACACCUUCCUAAUAUUGAGUUGCACCCCCCCUCCCACCCCCUUUUCAGAGCAGCAUGGACUCUACAAGGUGUUGAAAGCGUUCCACAGGGAUGCUGGCCCAUGUUGACUCCAAUGCUUCCUACAGUUGUAUCAAGUUGGCUGACAGCCCUUUGGGUGGUGGAACAUUCUUGAUACACACGGGAAACUGUUGAGCGUGAAAAACCCAGCAGCGUUGCAGUUCUUGACAAAAACCGAUGCACCUGGCACCUACUACCAUACCCCGUUCAAAGGUACUCACGUCUUUUACCAUGCCCAUUCACCCUCUGAAUGACACACAUACCCAAUCCAUGUCUCAAUUAUCUCAAGGCUUAAAAAUCCUUCUUUAACCCGUCUCCUCCCAUUCAUCUACGCUGAUUGAAGUGGAUUUAACAAGUGACCAAUAAGGGAUCAUAGCUUUCAUGUUGAUUCACCUGGCCAGUCAGUGUAUGUCAUGGAAAGAGCAGGUGUUCUUAAUGUUUUGUAAAGUGUAUCUAUACAGUAUAUGUAUAUAAUAGUGUGUAUGGACAGUAGAUGAAUAUAAAAGGUGUGUACAGCAGUAAUUUUAUAAGAUGGUGUGUGUAUAGGCAGUAUGGACAGUAUAAAAUACAAUACAAUUUUACUGGUCACAGACACGUGUUUAUCAAAUCAAAGUUUAUUUGUCAUGUGCGCCGAAUACAACAGGUGUAGACCUUACAGUGAAAUGCUUACUUACAGGCUCUAACCAACAGUGCAAAAAAGGUAUUAGGUGAACAAUAGGUAGGUAAAGAAAUAAAACAACAGUAAAAAGACAGGCUACAUACAGGUAGUGAGGCUACAUACAGACACCGGUUAGUCAGGCUGAUUGAGGUAGUAUGUACAUGUAGGUAUGGUUAAAGUGACUAUGCAUAUAUGAUGAACAGAGUUUAGCAGAUGUUAAUGCGAGUGUAUGCUAAUAGUUCCGACAGUGCAGUAAUAUCUAACAAUUUCACAACAAAUACCUAAUACACACAAAUCUAAGUAAAGGAAUGGAAUUAAGAAUAUAUAAAUAUAUGGAGGAGCAAUGUCAGAGCAGCAUAGACUAAGAUAGUAUAGAAUAAUGUAUAGUAUAUACAUACAAGAUUAGUAAUUUAAGAUAUGUAAACAUUAUUAAAGUGACUAGUGAUCCAUUUAUUAAAGUGGCCAAUGAUUUCAAGUAUGUAUGUUGGCGGCAGCCUCUCUGUGCUAGUGAUGGCUGUUUAACAGUCUGAUGGCCUUGAGAUAGAAGCUGUUUUUCAGUCUCUCAGACCCAGCUUUGAUGCACCUGUACUGACCUCUCCACCUGGAUGAUAGUGGGGUGAACAGGCAGUGGCUCGGGUGGUUGUUAUCCUUGAUGAUCUUUUUGGCCUUCCUGUGACAUCGGGUAGGUGUCCUGGAGGGCAGGUAGUUUGCCCCCGGUGAUGUGUUGUGCAGACCGCACCACCCUCUAGAGAGUCCUGUGGUUGAGUGCGGUGCAGUUGCCGUACCAGGCGGUGAUACAGCCCAACAGGAUGCAUCUGUAAAAGUUUGUGAGGGUUUUAGGUGACAAGCCAAAUUUCUUCAGCCUCCUGAGGUUGAAGAGGGCCUGUUGCACCUUCUUCACCACACUGUCUGUGUGGGUGGACCAAUUCAGUUUGUCUGUGAUGUGUACGCCGAUGAACUUAAAACUUUCCACCUUCUCCACUACUGUCCUGUCGAUGUGGAUAGGGGGAUGUUCCCUCUACUGUUUCCUGAAGUCCACGAUCAUCUCCUUUGUUUUGUUGACGUUGAGUCAGAGGUUAUUUUCCUGACACCUCACUCCCAGAACCCUCACCUCCUCCAUGUAGGCUGUCUCAUCGUUAUUGGAAAUCAAGCCUACUACUGUUGUUUCAAAAUAUGAAUAGAAAAGGUGUGUACAGCAGUAGUUAUAUAGGAAGAGUCUUGACUAGAAUACAGUAUACACAUAUAAAGUGGGUAAAACAGUAUGUAAACAUUAUUGAAGUGACCAGUGUUCCAUGUCUAUGUACAUUGGGCAGCAGACUCUAAGGUUCAGGGUAGAGUACCGGGUGGUAGUCGGCUAGUAACAGUGACUAAGGUUCAGGUUAGAGUACAGGGUAGUAGGAGGCUAGUAACAGUGACUAAGGUUCAGGGUAGAGUACCCGGGGGUAGUCGGCUAGUAACAGGGACUAAGGUUCAGGGUAGAGUACCGGGUGGUAGCCGACUAGUGACAGUGACUAAGGUUCUGGGUAGAGUACCGGGUGGUAGCCGGCUAGUAACAGUGACUAAGGUUCAGGGUAGAGUACCGGGUGGUAGCUGGCUAGUGACAGUGACUAAGGUUCAGGGUAGAGUACCCGGUGGUAGCCGGCUAGUGACAUAACAACUUGAUUGUGAAAUGUCCUAUCAUGAGGAAAUGACUAGGUGAUACUUAGCCCCUGAACAAGGCAUUUAACACACUGUUCCUAGGCUGUCGUUCUGCCCCUGAACAAGGCAGUUAACCCACUGUUCCUAGGCUGUCGUUCUGCCCCUGAACAAGGCAGUUAACCCACUGUUCCUAGGCUGUCGUUCUGCCCCUUAACAGGCUGUUAACCCGAUGUUCCUACACCGUCAUUGAAAAUAAGAAUUUGUUGUUAACUGACUUGCCUAGUUAAAUAAAAUAUAUUCCUGCAAUUUGCAGUCUAUAUUUACUAUAUUUUUAGUGUAGCUUAACUUUUUGUAGUGUGAAGUUAUUGGUAGUUUGGUAAACUAUGAUUUCAGAGUAAUACUGUGGGUUUGGUAAUACUGUGGGUUUGGUAAUACUGUGGGAUUGGUAAUACUGUGGGUUUGGUAAUACUGUGGGUUUGGCAGGAGAAGACAAAACAAAGCAAGAAAGAGAAGAAGAGAAGUAAAGAAGAAGAGAAGUAAAGAAGAAGAGAAGUAAAGAAGAAGAGAAGUAAAGAAGAAGAGAAGUAA